GAGGAAAAAGAAAAUUGUAGCACAAACUUUAAAGGAAGGGAAAUAGAGGCGAAGGGAAUUUCUAAACAGAGUGAAUUCAGCAAAAAAUUAAAGGAGCCGACUGUUGAUCGAAGAAGAGUAGUUUUCAAUUGUCAUGCAUGAAGAUAAUAAUGCAAUAAUUCAUGGUAGAAUUGAAGCUCUUCUAGAAAGACGUGGUUUUAUGGUUUUCAAAUCUCCAAUGACAAAUGAAUAAACGACCAAAAAAGUGCUGGUCAACAAAUUAUGGCAUUGGUGGAUGUAGUUGGAAAUAUUUCCUCUAAUACGUUACUUAAAUGAAGAUUUUUUAUUUUUAUUAAUUUUUGGCUGACUUGUCCAAUUGCUAUUUCGCAACUACUUUAUAUUUUUGGUGACCGAUUUAGCCUCAAAGUAGCGACCUUUUCAAUAUCACUCUCUCUCUCUCUACAAGUAGAUACCUUUUUUAUUAAAUUUAUUUAAUACAUCUCUCUCUCUCUCUC